AGCAGCCGCGGUAAUUCCAGCUCCAAUAGCGUAUAUUAAAGUUGUUGCAGUUAAAAAGCUCGUAGUUGAAUUUCGGGAUCAAUACGUCGGUCGUGCUUUCGGGUACGUACUGGCGUCAUUGGUUUCUCCUUUCUGACGAACCAUGAUGUCAUUAAUUUGGUGUUAUGGGGAGUUAGGACUGUUACUUUGAAAAAUUAGAGUGUUUAAAGCAGGCUCGCGCUUGAAUACAUUAGCAUGGAAUAAUGAAAUAGGACGUUGACCCUAUUUUGUUGGUUUCUAGGAUUGACGUAAUGAUUAAUAGGGAUAGUUGGGGGCAUUAGUAUUCAAUUGUCAGAGGUGAAAUUCUUGGAUUUAUUGAAGACUAACUACUGCGAAAGCAUUUGCCAAGGAUGUUUUCAUUAAUCAAGAACGAAAGUUAGGGGAUCGAAGACGAUCAGAUACCGUCGUAGUCUUAACCAUAAACUAUGCCGAC
rnacentral:rRNA from 1 species